GUCGUAUCGAUAGCUUGCAUAACGACUUCGAAUCAUCCGCGCACAGUCUAAGAGAUCUAGAUACGCUUGCAGGAAGCCGAGCAAAACAGUCAACUAUGGCGUUCGUCCGCCGGUAGCUUCGACUAUUUGUAUUUCGCCCAACAUAUAGAGCGGAGCGAAUCCAACCUACUUGGUUCUUGGAUGUGCCUGCACUAUUGCUUUCUUCAGAACUUGUCAAGGUGGAAUCUUCUCUUGUUUGGAGGAGCAGGACGAGGUCAAAGUGAUGAUGAUCAUGGCGGUUUCCGGUCAUUUUGACUCGCGAUGUAGUCGUACAAGGAGCGGUCAAAGUAAGCGACAUUCUUUUGCUCCCUACAGUUUGCCCAACUGACUUUCGUCUCUUUAUCUGCAUGAACGCAGAGUAGAAGAGUUGCUUCGGUCGCGCGUGCACUUCCCUAAGCCGUCAGGUCCCGCCAGCACCAUGCAAACUACCGCCGUAUCAAGGCUAUCGAGAAGGACUCAUUAGAGAUGGCAGCCAGAUUUGGGCGUGACUUUUGGUGUCAGGGUAAUGCUGCUACGCGCCAUCUAGACAUUGCAUGUGUUUUCACGAAUUAGUGGACAAUCGUUCGGACAAUAUGUGCAACGUACGUGUAGACGCUCUAACUUGAAGAUGUUUAGCCGUGUAAUGUGUACACUGCAGUAAUACACGUACAAUACACUAGUGGUGACUUCAAAGCAGUACACCCAAGUGUACAGUAUUGUGGUAUACAGUGUGUAACACAAUAGUAAUUACGAAAUUAAGUGUAUUGCUGU